rnacentral:lncRNA from 1 species
AUGAGGGAGGUGGAACCUCCCCUGGGGGGCUUCUGCCGGGCACAGCCUCGCCUCCUUCCCGCUCCGGGCCAAGAGCACCUGUGGCUCACUUUCCUCACUCCCAGCUUCUUCGUGGAGAAGGGCCUCCGGGAAGCGCGGCGGGGAGGGGGGGACACGGGCCCUUGGGUCGUGGCGCCCUCCGACUGCCUUGGACAGAAACCCAGAUCCCCGCCUGGGCCCAAGGCCCCUCAAGCGUGGCCUCUGCUGGCCCCUUCCGUGUUACCUCCUGCGCCUCGCUCCUUCCUCUGUGGCCGCCGCGGCUCUGGAGCUGUUCCCAAGGCCCAGAACAUUCUCCCCCCCUCUCCGGGCUUUGCAGGACUGGCUCUUCCCGUUCCGUCAGGUCGAGUUCUUGAACACUUGAGACGUGUGAUGUCGACACGGACGCUGUCACAUACCGUUUGGCAGGUUGCUUUUUCCGCUCGGCCUGUGACGUCUGUGCUCACUCCGUCUUGAGCCGCGUGGACUGGGAGUCCGAGCUGACUCAUGCACAGCGCGCCCUCGGGCAGCUUUGCAAAGGCUCCUCCGCUCACUAGCGACUCCCGACUCCCGGGACGCCUGUGCUCGCCCCGUCCCAGCACCGGGGCUGCUCUAGUGACCCAGAAAGGGCCCCUGGUCUCCCGGGGCGGGAGAUAGGAACCCCAGAGAGACAAGAAGACGCUCGGCCCUCCGAAGUCCGGUGGAGAGAAACACAAAGUAGGGUAACGUCUUGGAGAACGACGCCGGCAAGGUUUUCCGUAGAGGCCAGGGGGCAUCCUAGGCUUCGCGGCCGGGGCUGUGUCCGCCGCGGCAGCACAAACGCCGCCAGGGACCCGGGUAGCUGAAAGGGUACGGCUGUGUUCCAAUAAAACUUUAUUUACAAAAAUAGGCUGUGGGCCAGGUGCGGCCCUCGGGCCCCAGUUUGCCGACCCUGUGCGGGGUUAGGGGAGGCUCCCUGAGCUGGGGCUGUCGCAGGGCCUUUCUGGGGGGAGAUGAGAACCAGAGCCCAGUCACAGGAAGGAGCUGGCGAGGGACGACGUGAUGGCACCU